rnacentral:lncRNA from 1 species
GACUGCAGUGCCUCGGCCUCGCUGGGUAGUGCCACUGCUUGGAAGAGAGGGAGAGUCUGGAAGAGCCACCCCUACCCUUCACAAUUCAAGCACCAGCCUCAGUGGGCUAGGAGUAGAAUUGGGACUCCGGAGAGCCUGCACAAUGGAUACUGCACGGCUCGGCUCGAGCUGACCCAGGAUGGAGGCUUUGUGUUUCAAGCUGCAGCAGAACUGUGGGCACGUUGCCUGGUGCUUUGCUGUUUGAAUGGCAUCCCAGCCCAAGCUCUGUACUGCCAGCCCAGAAUGCUGUUGCAAAGAAUGGGAGGAGGAGGAGAGGAGAACAGGGCUCCAGAUAGUUGAAUCCUCCAUUUGAAGAAAGGUUAAUAAACACACAGAGCCAAAGUGUUACUAAGGGAUU